CUACGUGCCAGCAGCCGCGGUAAUACGGAAGGUCCAGGCGUUAUCCGGAUUUAUUGGGUUUAAAGGGUGCGUAGGCCGUUUGAUAAGCGUGCUGUGAAAUAUAGUGGCUCAACCUCUAUCGUGCAGCGCGAACUGUUGAACUUGAGUGCGUAGUAGGUAGGCGGAAUUCGUGGUGUAGCGGUGAAAUGCUUAGAUAUCACGAAGAACUCCGAUUGCGAAGGCAGCUUACCGUAACGUUACUGACGCUUAAGCACGAAGGUGCGGGUAUCGAACAGGAUUAGAUACCCUGGUAGUCCGCACAGUAAACGAUGGAUGCUCGCUGUUGGCCUUUUUGGUCAGUGGCUUAGCGAAAGCGUUAAGCAUCCCACCUGGGGAGUACGCCGGCAACGGUGAAACUCAAAGGAAUUGACGGGGGCCCGCACAAGCGGAGGAACAUGUGGUUUAAUUCGAUGAUACGCGAGGAACCUUACCCGGGCUUGAACUGCAGCUGAACGAUUCAGAGA
rnacentral:rRNA from 1 species